rnacentral:rRNA from 1 species
GACGAACGCUGGCGGCGUGCCUAAUACAUGCAAGUAGGACGCAGUUGCGAACGGGUGAGUAACGCGUAGGUAACUGCCUAUUAGAGGGGGAUAACUAUUGGAAACGAUAGCUAAUACCGCAUACUAGUAGAUGGACCUGCGUUGUAUUAGCUAGUAGGUAGGGUAAUGGCCUACCUAGGCAAAGAUACAUAGCCGACCCUGAGAGGUGGUCGGGCAAACUUGGACUGGGGCAAGGGCCCAACGCCUUCGGUAGGCAGCAGUAGGGAAUCUUUGUCAAUUGGGGGAAACCUGAACGAGCAAAGCCGCGUGAGUGAAGAAGGUUUUCGGAUCGUAAAACUCUGUUGUUAGGGGAGCGUUACUUAACCAGAAAGGGACGGCUAACUACGUGCCAGCCGCCGCGGUAAUAC